rnacentral:lncRNA from 1 species
CCUAGAGUGUCCUAAGCUACUAUUUUCCUGAAACUCUCAGGACCCUUUUUGUUCUCCCUCAUCAUUCUUGACUUUUCUUCUCUCAGGGUUGUGGUACUUGCUUUGCAAUUAAGCUUUAGACACUCCAGAUAUGCUGAUAUGUUGUGUCGGACCUCAAGGGGGGUGAUGGUUUGAGCUCUGGUCAGAGGCUCUCAGUAGCUGUGCAUAUCUAUAGAUGCAUCAGGUAUGGGAAGGAGAGGGAAACAGGGAGAAACCACCAGGAAAUAUACACAAUUUUUUUUUUUUUUUUUGCGACGGAAUCUCACUCUGUCACCCAGCUGGAGUGCAGUGGCAUGAUCUUGGCUCACUGCAACUCCGUCUCCCAGGUUCAAGCGAUUCUCCUGCCUCAGCCUCCCAAGUAGCUGGGACUACAGGUGAGUGCCACCACGCCCAGCUAAUUUUUGUAUUUUUAGUAGAGACGGGGUUUCACCAUGUUGGCCAGGCUGGUCUCGAACUCCUGACCUCAGGUGAUCCACCCACCUCGGCCUCCCAAAGUGCUGGGAUUAUAGGUGUGAGCCACUGCACCCGGCCAGACAAUUAUUUUUAAAUAUCUCUCGGGUACUAUGCUGUGAAUAUGAUGAAAGCAGGAACUAUUUCAUAUUCACAUCGAUGUUCAGAACCUAACACCCACUUCACAGUUG